CCUGACCCUCAAGCAUUGCAGGUGUGACUCUUGUGUCACAUGUGUGUCAGUAGGUGCCAGAGAAGAGCUAGGUUAUGUCUAUGCUCAGUGGUUUGGCCUGUGAACAUUUGAAGGAUCAGUAUCCAAACACU